GAUGAACGCUGGCGGCGUGCCUAAUACAUGCAAGUCGAGCGAACGGAGGAGAAGCUUGCUUCUCUGAUGUUAGCGGCGGACGGGUGAGUAACACGUGGAUAACCUACCUAUAAGACUGGGAUAACUUCGGGAAACCGGAGCUAAUACCGGAUGAUAUUUUGAACCGCAUGGUUCAAAAGUGAAAGACGGUGUUGCUGUCACUUAUAGAUGGAUCCGCGCUGCAUUAGCUAGUUGGUAAGGUAACGGCUUACCAAGGCAACGAUGCAUAGCCGACCUGAGAGGGUGAUCGGCCACACUGGAACUGAGACACGGUCCAGACUCCUACGGGAGGCCGCAGUAGGGAAUCUUCCGCAAUGGGCGAAAGCCUGACGGAGCAACGCCGCGUGAGUGAUGAAGGUCUUCGGAUCGUAAAACUCUGUUAUUAGGGAAGAACAUAUGUGUAAGUAACUGUGCACAUCUUGACGGUACCUAAUCAGAAAGCCACGGCUAACUACGUG
rnacentral:rRNA from 1 species